GAGACAGCCUCAUGAGUUGCAUUUGGAAGGAAAAGGAAAAGUGAAGUUGACUGUCACAGAGCCUGAAACCACACGAGCUACUGAAGAGGAGACACUUGAAGAAAAACUAGCUCCCACAGAGGCUCUGGAUGCCAUGAGCAACCUUCAAACAAAAGAGAGUUUUGUUCCAAGCAGCGAACUCCAGGAAGAAGCUGGCUCUGCAGAGACCUCACCUUUGGUGGUGUUUGAGAACAUACAAAAAUGCAGUCCAAACUGCUUACGUUUGCUGUUGGAGAACAUCAGCAGCCUGACUGUAGAUGAGGACUUCACUGUGGAAGUGAUACCUGAAAUAAAUGUUGCUGUAGCUACCUUUAUACAAAGUCUUGGUAAGAGAGGGGGACACCAUCAUUCAUCACCGU
ensembl:lncRNA